rnacentral:rRNA from 1 species
GACGAACGCUGGCGGCGUGCUUAACACAUGCAAGUCGUACGGUAAGGCCCUUUCGGGGGUACACGAGUGGCGAACGGGUGCGUAACACGUGAGUAACCUGCCCACAACUUUGGGAUAACGCUAGGAAACUGGUGCUAAUACUGGAUAUGUGCUCCUGCUGCAUGGUGGGGGUUGGAAAGCUCCGGCGGUUGUGGAUGGACUCGCGGCCUAUCAGCUUGUUGGUGGGGUAGUGGCCUACCAAGGCGGCGACGGGUAGCCGGCCUGAGAGGGUGACCGGCCACCUUGGGACUGAGGGACGGCCCAGACUCCUACGGGAGGCAGCAGUGGGGAAUAUUGCACAAGGGGCGCAAGCCUGAUGCAGAAACGCCGCGUGCGGGAUGACGGCCUUCGGGUUGUAAACCGCUUGCAGCAGGGACGAAGCUUGUUGUGACGGUACCUGCAGAAGAAGCACCGGCUAACUACGUG